rnacentral:lncRNA from 1 species
AAAUAUCUCUGGUUAAAUUUCCAAGAAACCCUCUCAUUUUGCAAAAUUAGGAGUUAACCCAAUUGAUCCAAAUUUCACAGAUUCGAGAUUAUCCUUUCAUUUUUCUUCUCUCUUUUUUCGCGUUUCUCUUCCUUUCUCCUCUCUCUGCAAUCCAAAAGGUUGAUUAGGGACGAGUGCAGUCCUUUUCUUGCCUUUUCUCGCCAAAUCAUGCCAUCCAAACGGACUUAAGUCCUCAGUUCUUAUAAGCCAAGGUAUCAAUAUCUUCUGGUAGUGAAGAAGAUGAAAAGCAAAAACAUCAGAUGGAGCUUUCAAUUCCUUACAGCUCUCCUUGUUGGGUUUUUAUUCUUAAAGAUCUUUUACGCAGCCAGUGAGAAUAAAAAUCUGGUAUAGAUCAGAAGCCGAGAAAUAGCACCGGUGAGAAUAAAAAUCUGGUAUAUGAUCAGAAACCGAUAAAUA